GCCAGACUCCUACGGGAGGCAGCAGUGGGGGAUAUUGCACAAUGGGGGGAACCCUGAUGCAGCGACGCCGCGUGGGUGAAGAAGCGCCUCGGCGCGUAAAGCCCUGUCAGCAGGGAAGAAAAUGACGGUACCUGAAGAAGAAGCCCCGGCUAACUACGUGCCAGCAGCCGCGGUAAUACGGAGGAUGCGAGCGUUAUCCGGAUUUAUUGGGUUUAAAGGGUGCGUAGGCGGGCUGCCAAGUCAGCGGUAAAAUUGCGGGGCUCAACCCCGUCGAGCCGUUGAAACUGGCGGUCUUGAGUGGGCGAGAAGUAUGCGGAAUGUGUGGUGUAGCGGUGAAAUGCAUAGAUAUCACGCAGAACUCCGAUUGCGAAGGCAGCAUACCGGCGCCCGACUGACGCUGAAGCACGAAAGCGUGGGUAUCGAACAGGAUUAGAUACCCUAGUA
rnacentral:rRNA from 1 species